rnacentral:rRNA from 1 species
GACACUAUAGGGGGACUGCCGGUGAUAAGCCGGAGGAAGGUGGGGAUGACGUCAAGUCUUCAUGGCCCUUACGGGCUGGGCUACACACGUGCUACAAUGGCGGUGACAGAGGGUUGCUACACAGCGAUGUGAUGCUAAUCCCUAAAAGCCGUCUCAGUUCGGAUUGCACUCUGCAACUCGGGUGCAUGAAGUCGGAAUUGCUAGUAAUCGCAGAUCAGCACGCUGCGGUGAAUACGUUCCCGGGCCUUGUACACACCGCCCGUCACACCAUGGGAGUUGGUUCUACCCGAAGCCGGUGCGCUAACCGCAAGGAAGCAGCCGACCACG